AUUGAACGCUGGCGGCAGGCCUACCACAUGCAAGUCGAACGAGUGGCGGACGGGUGAGUAAUGUCUGGGAAACUGCCUGAUGGAGGGGGAUAACUACUGGAAACGGUAGCUAAUACCGCAUACCCUCAGAUGUGCCCAGAUGGGAGUAGCUUGUUGGUGGGGUAACGGCUGACCAAGGGGACGAGCCCUAGCUGGUCUGAGAGGAUGACCAGCCAAACUGGAACUGAGACACGGUCCAGACUCCUACGGGAGGCAGCAGUGGGGAAUAUUGCACAAUGGGCGCAAGCCUGAGGCAGCCAUGCCGAGGGUAUGAAGAAGGCCAUCGGGUUGUAAAGUACUUUCAGCGGGGAGGCGUUACCCGCAGAAGAAGCACCGGCUAACUCCGUGCCAGCAGCCGCGGUAAUUC
rnacentral:rRNA from 1 species